ACGGCUAGCGGCAGGCUUAACACAUGCAUGUCGAGGGGUAACAGGGAGCUUGCUCCGCUGACGACCGGCGCACGGGUGCGUAACGCGUAUACAAUCUACCUUGUACUAUUGGAUAGCCCAGAGAAAUUUGGAUUAAUACAAUAUAGUAUUAUAUAUCGGCAUCGAUUUUAUAAUUAAAGGUUACGGUACAAGAUGAGUAUGCGUCCUAUUAGUUAGUUGGUAAGGUAACGGCUUACCAAGACAUCGAUAGGUAGGGGCCCUGAGAGGGGGAUCCCCCACACUGGUACUGAGACACGGACCAGACUCCUACGGGAGGCAGCAGUGAGGAAUAUUGGACAAUGGGCGAGAGCCUGAUCCAGCCAUGCCGCGUGCAGGAAGACUGCCCUAUGGGUUGUAAACUGCUUUUAAACGGGAAGAAACACUCCGACGUGUCGGAGCUUGACGGUACCGUAAGAAUAAGGAUCGGCUAACUCCGUGCCAGCAGCCGCGGUAAUACGGAGGAUCCAAGCGUUAUCCGGAAUCAUUGGGUUUAAAGGGUCCGUAGGCGGGCAGCUAAGUCAGUGGUGAAAGUCUGCAGCUCAACUGUAGAAUUGCCAUUGAUACUGGUUGUCUUGAAUUAGUAUGAAGUGGUUAGAAUAAGUAGUGUAGCGGUGAAAUGCAUAGAUAUUACUUAGAAUACCAAUUGCGAAGGCAGAUCACUAAUACUAUAUUGACGCUGAUGGA
rnacentral:rRNA from 1 species